rnacentral:rRNA from 1 species
AACGAACGCUGGUGGCAGGCUAAACACAUGCAAGUCGAACGCCCCGCAAGGGGAGUGGCAGACGGGUGAGUAACGCGUGGGAAUCUACCCAGUUCUACGGAACAACUGAGGGAAACUUCAGCUAAUACCGUAUACGCCCUACGGGGGAAAGAUUUAUCGGAAUUGGAUGAGCCCGCGUUGGAUUAGCUAGUUGGUGAGGUAACGGCUAACCAAGGCGACGAUCCAUAGCUGGUCUGAGAGGAUGAUCAGCCACACUGGGACUAAGACACGGCCCAGACUCCUACGGGAGGCAGCAGUGGGGAAUAUUGGACAAUGGGCGAAAGCCUGAUCCAGCCAUGCCGCGUGAGUGAUGAAGGCCUUAGGGUUGUAAAGCUCUUUCAGUGGGGAAGAUAAUGACGGUACCCACAGAAGAAGCCCCGGCUAACUUCGUGCCAGCCGCCGCAGUAACAC